rnacentral:rRNA from 1 species
GUCUUAAUGUCUUUUAUGUUAAGUCUGGCCUGCCUACCGAUUUAUAUUGAGGGGCCGCAAAGUAUAUUGACUGUGCAAAGGUAGCAUAAUCAUUAGUCUUUUAAAUGGAGGCUGGAAUGAAUAGGGUUUAACGAGAUAAUAACUGUCUUAUAUAUUAUAAUUGAAUUUCAUUUUUAAGUAAGAUUAAGCUUAAAUUAUGAUAAGGGACGAUAAGACCCUAUAGAACUUUAUAUGAGUUAUUUAAUCAAAAAAUAAUAAGUAUUUUACUGGGGCGGUUAGGAAAGAUUAAAACUUUUCUUAAUUUUUUCGACAUUUUAAUUGGUUUAAUGAUCUUAUAUUAAGGAUAAAAAAAUAAGUUACCUUAGGGAUUUAACAGCUUAAUUUUCUUGGAGAGUUCGAAUCAAUAAGAAAUAUUGAGACCUCGAUGUUGGNNAUUAGGAUAACUAUGAGGCGCAGUAGCUUUUUUAGUAGGUCUGUUCGACUUUUAAAUUCC